rnacentral:rRNA from 1 species
UACGUAGGGUGCAAGCGUUGUCCGGAAUUAUUGGGCGUAAAGAGCUCGUAGGCGGUUUGUCGCGUCUGCUGUGAAAACUCGGGGCUUAACUCCGGGCCUGCAGUGGGUACGGGCAGACUAGAGUGCGGUAGGGGAGACUGGAAUUCCUGGUGUAGCGGUGAAAUGCGCAGAUAUCAGGAGGAACACCGGUGGCGAAGGCGGCCACCUGGACUGUCACUGACGCUGAGGAGCGAAAGCGUGGGGAGCGAACAGG